rnacentral:lncRNA from 1 species
AAGAAAAAAAAUAUCCAAUGGAAAAAUAAAAUAAAAUAGUAAAAAUUCGAAAAAUGUAAUUUUAUUGGUAACACAGCAAUAAUGCGGUAAGUAGCAAGUACACUAAAAGCUGAAUAUAAACUAACUAGUUAUAACAGGGAUAAAAUUACAAAGUAGAGACACAAAACAAACGUAUGCAUGUUAAAGCUACUAAAAAUAAAAUUCUCAAACUUAUGCAAUCGUUGCUAAUAUCAAUAAUAUGCAAAUAUUGUACAAUCCUUUAUGAAUUUCAUUAGCUCAGCAACACAUCUCGCAGAUCCAGCAGCAGCACAGAGCAAAGAGGCUGCAUCAAUCAUAACAGUUGCAUCAGAAAUUAACCAUUUUAAUUUUUUUUUUCAAUUUCAUUACAUAUCUUAAACUAGAAAUUUUAUUAUAGUUAGGGAGGAGGAGGACUAUAACAAAAAGAAAAACAAUGAUUUAAUUUACUUAAUGCUUACCAUCCCUCAAUGAAGCCCCUCUCUCCUUUCUUCUUAGUCCUAGACAUAAACCCUUUCUUGGUGGGAGGAUCCUGAUCAGUUGGGUAUCCUGAAAAUCAUGCAAAAAAAUGAUUUUUGUUAUCAGGGUGUUCAAAUAAUCAAAUAGGUUUUGUUUGAAAAGAAAAAAAAAAGAAAAAGAGAGAUGAACCUGGUGGUGGAGGAGCUUGGUUUCCCUGUGUCUCUGGCUUCUGCAUCUUGAUGAAUGAAAAAAUCCAACAGUUUUAGAUUCUCAAUAAGCAAUUGUCGAUGUAAAAUACCUUAUUGAACUUUGUUCUGUUAAAGAAAGAGAAUAUAUGUGUCUGUAUAACCUAUGAUAUAUAUACUGUAAUGUUGAUCUUCUACUUUGUCUCUGUGUAUAUAUAUAUCAUAAGAUAACAUCACACUUAUUACCUGACAGUUAAAAUAAUAAUUUU